UAUCACAGUCAUAUCACCCUGCAGCCCAAGGGCGGUUACUCACUGAAGCUAAGCAGGGCUGAGCAUGGUCAGUGUCUGGAUGGGAGAGCACAUGGGAACACUAGGCUGCUGUUGGCA
ensembl:rRNA 5S_rRNA 5S ribosomal RNA